rnacentral:siRNA from 1 species
AUAUAGGUCAUUCUUCUGCUGC